rnacentral:rRNA from 1 species
GACGAACGCUGGCGGCGUGCUUAACACAUGCAAGUCGAACGGAAAGGCCCUGCUUUUGUGGGGUGCUCGAGUGGCGAACGGGUGAGUAACACGUGAGUAACCUGCCCUUGACUUUGGGAUAACUUCAGGAAACUGGGGCUAAUACCGGAUAGGAGCUCCUGCUGCAUGGUGGGGGUUGGAAAGUUUCGGCGGUUGGGGAUGGACUCGCGGCUUAUCAGCUUGUUGGUGGGGUAGUGGCUUACCAAGGCUUUGACGGGUAGCCGGCCUGAGAGGGUGACCGGCCACAUUGGGACUGAGAUACGGCCCAGACUCCUACGGGAGGCAGCAGUGGGGAAUAUUGCACAAUGGGCGGAAGCCUGAUGCAGCAACGCCGCGUGCGGGAUGACGGCCUUCGGGUUGUAAACCGCUUUCGCCUGUGACGAAGCGUGAGUGACGGUAAUGGGUAAAGAAGCACCGGCUAACUACGUGCCAGCAGCCGCGGUGAUACGUAGGGUGCGAGCGUUGUCCGGAUUUAUUGGGCGUAAAGGGCUCGUAGGUGGUUGAUCGCGUCGGAAGUGUAAUCUUGGGGCUUAACCCUGAGCGUGCUUUCGAUACGGGUUGACUUGAGGAAGGUAGGGGAGAAUGGAAUUCCUGGUGGAGCGGUGGAAUGCGCAGAUAUCAGGAGGAACACCAGUGGCGAAGGCGGUUCUCUGGGCCUUUCCUGACGCUGAGGAGCGAAGGCGUGGGGAGCGAACAGGCUUAGAUACCCUGGUAGUCCACGCUGUAAACGGUGGGUACUAGGUGUGGGGUCCAUUCCACGGGUUCCGUGCCGUAGCUAACGCUUUAAGUACCCCGCCUGGGGAGUACGGCCGCAAGGCUAAAACUCAAAGGAAUUGACGGGGCCCCGCACAAGCGGCGGAGCAUGCGGAUUAAUUCGAUGCAACGCGUAGAACCUUACCUGGGUUUGACAUGGAUCGGGAGUGCUCAGAGAUGGGUGUGCCUCUUUUGGGGUCGGUUCACAGGUGGUGCAUGGCUGUCGUCAGCUCGUGUCGUGAGAUGUUGGGUUAAGUCCCGCAACGAGCGCAACCCUUGUUCACUGUUGCCAGCACGUUAUGGUGGGGACUCAGUGGAGACCGCCGGGGUCAACUCGGAGGAAGGUGGGGAUGACGUCAAGUCAUCAUGCCCCUUAUGUCCAGGGCUUCACGCAUGCUACAAUGGCUGGUACAGAGAGUGGCGAGCCUGUGAGGGUGAGCGAAUCUCGGAAAGCCGGUCUCAGUUCGGAUUGGGGUCUGCAACUCGACCUCAUGAUGUCGGAGUCGCUAGUAAUCGCAGAUCAGCAACGCUGCGGUGAAUACGUUCCCGGGGCU